rnacentral:lncRNA from 1 species
UUUUUUUUUUCAAUUGACAAAUAUUUAGUAAAUGUCACAUUUUCAUAUAUUUGUGCUUUAUUUUAUAAAAGACUUAAAAUUUUUAUCUUUAUUUAUCGUAUUUCAUUUUAAAUGACUAUUUAUGUUAAAAAAAUUAAACUUUAUUUUUUUUAAUGAAUUAAGUUGGUAUAACUCUGAUAAAUUAAUUUUAUUAUGAGGUAAAUAUUUUAAUUAAAAAAUUAUAUACUUUUAAUAAAGAUUUAUACUUUUCAAUAAAAAAAUUCAAUUAUUUUUAUGAAUGCUUAAAUUAUAUUAAGAAAAGAAAAAAAUAAUAAUUAAGAAUAGUUGAAAAAAAAAUUAUUUUAACUUGGACUCAUGAAUGGCCCAAAGGAAAAAAAAAAGUGAGAAUUGAAUCUGAUUUUUUAAUAGGCCCAAAUGGCUCAAGAGAGAUUUGAUUUGGGCUGGAUCCAAAAAUAAUGACCCAAUAUAGAUUUGUUAUUAAUAUUACUUAAUUGUCCUUAAUGAAACAUGCAAUGUUAGUGAAGAAAACAUGCCCCUAAGGUAAUUAUGACAAUAUGAUC